rnacentral:rRNA from 1 species
UACGUAGGGUGCAAGCGUUAUCCGGAAUUAUUGGGCGUAAAGAGCUCGUAGGCGGUUUGUCGCGUCUGCUGUGAAAACUGGGGGCUCAACCCCCAGCCUGCAGUGGGUACGGGCAGACUAGAGUGCGGUAGGGGAGAUUGGAAUUCCUGGUGUAGCGGUGGAAUGCGCAGAUAUCAGGAGGAACACCGAUGGCGAAGGCGGUUCUCUGGGCCUUACCUGACGCUGAGGAGCGAAAGCGUGGGGAGCGAACAGG